AGUUAAAUAGCUUAAGUAAAGCUUAUAUUUUGAAAGUAUAAUAUAAAGGUUAAAUUCCUUUAUUAACUU
rnacentral:tRNA from 1 species